rnacentral:rRNA from 1 species
GACGGAAGGUGCAAGCGUUGCUCGGAAUCACUGGGCGUAAAGGGUGCGUAGGCGGCUUGGUGGGUCUGGUGUGAAAGCCCCGGGCUCAGCCCGGGAAGGGCACUAGAAACUGCCGAGCUGGAGUGCCGGAGGGGAGAGUGGAAUUCCUGGUGUAGCGGUGAAAUGCGCAGAUAUCAGGAGGAACACCGGUGGCGAAGGCGGGUCUCUGGGCCGAUACUGACGCUGAGGAGCGAAAGCGUGGGGAGCGAACAGG